GAUGAACGCUGGCGGCGUGCCUAACACAUGCAAGUCGAGCGAACAGACGAGGAUCUUGCUCCUCUGACGUUAGCGGCGGACGGGUGAGAAACACGUGGAUAAUCUACUUAUAUGACUGGUAUAAUUUCGGGAAACCGGAUCUAAUACCGGAUAAUAUAUUGAACCGUAUGGUUGAAUAGAGAAUUUCGGUUUUGCUGUCUCUACUAGCUGGAUCUCCGCCGCAUUAGCUAGUUGGGAGGGUAACGGCUUACCAAGGCAACGCUGCGUAGCCGAUCUGAGAGGAUGAUCGGCCACACUGGAGCUGAGACACGGUCCAGACUCCUACGGGAGGCAGCAGUCGGGAAUCUUCGGCAAUGGGCGCAAGCCUGACGCAGCGACGCCGCGUGAGUGAUGAAGGCCUUCGGAUCGUAAAGCCCUGUUUUUGGGGAAGAACAGCUGUAUAUUUAACCAAGGACGUAUUGACGGUACCUAAUCAAAAAGCCACGGCUAACUACGUG
rnacentral:rRNA from 1 species